rnacentral:rRNA from 1 species
GCACAGGUGCUGCAUGGCUGUCGUCAGCUCGUGUCGUGAGAUGUUCGGUUAAGUCCGCUAACGAGCGCAACCCUCGUCGUAUGUUAUAUGUGUCAUACGAGACUGCCGGUAAAAAGCCGGAGGAAGGUGAGGAUGAUGUCAAGUCAGCAUGACCUUUAUAUCCAGGGCUACACACACGCUACAAUGGUCUGUACAAUGGGUAGCCAAGCCGCGAGGCGGAGCCAAUCCUGAAAGCAGGCCUCAGUUCAGAUUGCAGUCUGCAACUCGACUGCAUGAAGCCGGAGUUGCUAGUAACCGCAGGUCAGCAAUACUGCGGUGAAUACGUUCCCGGGUCUU